UGGGGGCGCAAGCCCCCAAUGUAAUUACGAUAAAUUCAGCUUACUACCUUCUGAACGCAUUUAGGCUAUCUAGCUGCGCUGAGCAAAAAUAGUUCCAAUAUUUUGCCAUAAUAUUCAGAUCAUCAUAAUACCUUAUCUAAUUUAAAAUUGACUGGUCAUUUUAUUACUUAAUUUUAAAUCCUUUUAUCACAAAAUUACAAAUACCAUUGCUUUACGCGAUUUGAAUAUUACUACGCUAGCAGUCGAUAAAAAUUUAAUGAGAACCAGUUUAUUUGUUCUACCUUCUGGUUCCCGAUGCAUGAGAGCCAAAGUACUUGCAAAAAUUUGGUGCCAAUUUUAUCAAGUCAUAAAUUAACUAACUAUCAUAGAACACAAUAAUUCAGGAAGAUGGAAUACGAUUUUCAAAUUAGAUAACUUUCAAGCUUAAAAUGGUUAAAAAGUGUGAAUGACAGAGUAAAAAUUUGUAUGCGUAUGAAUACGAACUAUUUUCCCUCUGACGUCAUUUUCCCGAAAUCGCCAUCUUGGUCAGUUAUUCCGAGAAAAGGUUGAGAAGAUCUGCUAUCAAUUAGGAAGUCCCAGCUAUUACGUUGAUAUUUUGGUUGCAAUCAAUUCCAUCUUGGUGUAUUGUCUUCAUACUUGGCCACAACAACCCUUCAAAUAGACCAGACUAAACUUGACCUCCAUAUAAACAUUCAAGACGGUCGGCCUACAUGUCAGAUUUGUAAAUGUGAACGGCAGGAUAUCGAUUUUAAGGAUGCUUUAGGGUCAAUGAGGAUGAAAUAAAAUGUGAGACUGUCAAUCUGACAAACCUUGCAGUGAAUAAAUGGAAACAGUGGCGUUUGUAUGAUAGAACAGUAAUAGCAGGAGUGAUAAGGACAGAUGCAUGUAGAUGUGUCUUCAUGUCGGAAACACUAGAGAAAUUGACACAUUUGGGUUUUUCAAAACUUAAAGAAAUUGGAAUACCAGGAGACUGCUUGCCAUUUGCAAUGUUGGAAUGUGUGAUGUCGAAAGCCUCAUGAAUAUAGUAACUUGACUUAAUCUAAUAAGAAAAAGAAAAGACAUUGAGGAGAAAACUAGUCACCAGUCUUUCACCAAGAACAUGAGAUAACUUUCCAAUAUUUGAAAUAUCAUAAUAUGUAUAGAACUUGAAUGAGCGACAUAAUAUGUAUUGAUAUUGAAUGAGCGACCAGUUUUUCACCAGGAAAAUAAGAUCACUUAUCUAUUUUUGAAAUAUGUAUGAACAGAACUCUAUCAACUUCAAGGUGAGAGUUUAUCAUGAAGAACAUGAGAUAACUUAUGUAUGAACAGAACCACAUUUGAAUAUAGAGGCGCCAGUUCAUCACCAAGAAGAUGAGCUAACUUAUCAAUGUUUGAAAUCUGUUAUACCCCCGCACAACAAAGUUGUAAGGGGGCUAUACUGGAAUCAGCUUGUCCGGCCGUCGGGCGUCCGUCGCUUUUUUCUUGUCCGUCCAUAAAAUUAAGAUUCCUUUGACCCACAGUCUUCAUAUUUGGCAUGGAGGUAAGUCAUGAUUAGUAGAUGACCUCCAUUAAUUUUGAGAACACCAAGUCAAAGGUCAAGGUCACAGGGGUCUUGACUGAAGAAAGCUUUUCUGCCCAAUAACUUAAGAAUCCUUCGACCCACAGUCUUCAUAUUUGGCAUGGAGGUUAGUCAUGAUUAGUAGAUGACCCCUAUUUAUUUUCAGGUCUAAGGUCAUGGUCACAGGGGCCUUGGCUAAUUAAAGCUUGUCCGCCCAAUUACCUAAGAAUCCUUAGACCCAUAGUCUUCAUAUUUGGCAUGGAGGUUAGUCAAGAUUAGUAGAAUACCCCUAUUGAUUUUGAGGUUACUGGGGCAAAGGUCAAGGUCACAGGGGCUUUUAUUACAAUUAGCUUGUCUGCUCAAAUGGUCUCAUAUAUUCAUCAUAAAACACCUCCAGGCAAGGCUGCAUGAAAUGGGUGGGGGUGUUAUUGAAGUCAUUCAAUGGCAGUUUUAGUUUUGAGG